UGCCAGCCGCAGCGGUAAUACGUAGGAUGCAAGCGUUGUCCGGAAUCACUGGGCGUAAAGGGUCCGUAGGCGGUUAGUUAAGUCUCCUGUGAAAGUUCAAGGCUCAACCUUGAAAUGUCGGGGGAUACUGGCAAACUUGAGACUGUCAGAGGCAAGUGGAAUUCCCGGUGUAGUGGUGAAAUGCGUAGAUAUCGGGAGGAACACCAGUGGCGAAAGUGGCUUGCUGGGACAGUUCUGACGCUGAGGGACGAAAGCGUGGGUAGCAAACCGGAUUAGAUA
rnacentral:rRNA from 1 species